UUGAAUCAUGAGUACGGAGAAGGAAACGAUGAUCCAAGUUUGAGUGGAAUCCAUGUUUGAUUCCAUAAAAAACAUUGAGUUACAGAGGUUCAAAUUUCAGAAAUUCCAAGGUUGAAGACGAUGUUUGGUCGUUGCUUCGCGCGUGUUCUUUGUGCUUAAAUUCAAAUGUUUAAGUUGUCAUAUUUGUAUUGGUUGUUUUGUUUGACCUUGCCUCAGUGUGCGUGUGUGUGUAUGUGUUUG
rnacentral:lncRNA from 1 species